rnacentral:rRNA from 1 species
AAGACCUUGCGCUUUUGGAGCGGCCGAUGCCUGAUUAGCUUGUUGGUAAGGUAAAAGCUUACCAAGGCUUCGAUCAGUAGCUGGUCUGAGAGGACGACCAGCCACACUGGGACUGAGACACGGCCCAGACUCCUACGGGAGGCAGCAGUGGGGAAUUUUGGACAAUGGGGGCAACCCUGAUCCAGCCAUGCCGCGUGAGUGAAGAAGGCCUUCGGGUUGUAAAGCUCUUUCAGCCGGAACGAAACGGUUACGGUUAACACCCGUGACUACUGACGGUACCGGAAGAAGAAGUACCGGCUAACUACGUGCCAGCAGCCGCGGUAAUACGUAGGGUGCGAGCGUUAAUCGGAAUUACUGGGCGUAAAGCGUGCGCAGGUGGUUUUGUAAGUCAGAUGUGAAAGCCCCGGGCUCAACCUGGGAACU